CGACAACAAAAGACGCGGACGGCGGCUGCGCGGUGUGGCAGAGCGAAGCUGAGGAGUCCAGCGCUCGCCGACAGGGGCCUGGGCUGUCCCGAGCCGGAGGGAUCCUCUCGCUUCAGCCUUCUGAGUAGCUGGGAUUACAGGCGCACGCCACCAUGCCUGCCUAAUUUUUGUAUUUUUAGUAGAGACAGGGUUUCUCCAUGUUGCCCAGGCUGGUCUCGAACUCCUGGGCUCAAGUGAUCCACCCGCCCUGGCCUCCCAAAGUGCUGGGAUUACAGAUGUGAACCACCGUGCUGGGCCAUGGUUUUUUUUUUUUCAAGGGUAGUGAAUAUUAUCAAUUCAUUGUUGUUAGUGUUAUUAAUAAAAUAUUAUUUCAGUCUAGUUGUCUGUGUUACUUAAUGGUAAUCUUC
rnacentral:lncRNA from 1 species